GUGGGGAAUAUUGGACAAUGGGGGGAACCCUGAUCCAGCCAUGCCGCGUGUGUGAAGAAGGCCUUUUGGUUGUAAAGCACUUUAAGUGGGGAGGAGGCUUACCUGGUUAAUACCUGGGCUAAGUGGACGUUACCCACAGAAUAAGCACCGGCUAACUCUGUGCCAGCAGCCGCGGUAAUACAGAGGGUGCGAGCGUUAAUCGGAUUUACUGGGCGUAAAGCGCGCGUAGGUGGUUAAUUAAGUCAAAUGUGAAAUCCCCGAGCUUAACUUGGGAAUUGCAUUCGAUACUGGUUAGCUAGAGUAUGGGAGAGGAUGGUAGAAUUCCAGGUGUAGCGGUGAAAUGCGUAGAGAUCUGGAGGAAUACCGAUGGCGAAGGCAGCCAUCUGGCCUAAUACUGACACUGAGGUGCGAAAGCAUGGGGAGCAAACAGGAUUAGAUACCCUGGUAGUC
rnacentral:rRNA from 1 species